rnacentral:rRNA from 1 species
AUUCCAGCUCCAAUAGCGUAUAUUAAAGUUGUUGCGGUUAAAAAGCUCGUAGUUGGAUUUCCGCUGAGGACGACUGGUCCGCCCCCUGGGUGAGCAUCUGGUUCGGCCUGGGCAUCUUCCUGAAGAACGUAGCUGUACUUGACUGUGUGGUGCGGUAUUUAGGACAUUUACUUUGAGGAAAUUAGAGUGUUUCAAGCAAGCGCACGCUUUGAAUACAUUAGCAUGGAAUAAUAAGAUAGGACCUCGGUUCUAUUUUGUUGGUUUCUAGAGCUGAGGUAAUGAUUAACAGGGACAGUCAGGGGCACUCGUAUUCCGCCGAGAGAGGUGAAAUUCUCAGACCAGCGGAAGACGAACCACUGCGAAAGCAUUUGCCAGGGAUGUUUUCAUCA